UUCAUUUCAUUUAUUAUAUUUAGACAAAAAAUGUUAGCAGUUUUCAAAACUAAAACAAAAAAUCAACAGGCCCAAAGCUAACUUAAAAAUAAACUUACUCUACUAUAAUACUCUUGAGGUGCUUUCCUAUACACGAAAACAACUACAUCAAAAUAAUGUACUGCAUAGCAGUAUUCAGGAGCAAACAUAGGCUUAUGCAAAUUUUACAUAGGCCAAAAAAUAGUUAAUGAAAAGAAAUGCUUGCAAAAGUAAUACUUAACAUUAGAUUUAUUAAGUGGAAUGUUUCUAACAUCAAUGAUUAACCAAUUCCAAUUAUACGGAUAAUAGGUGUGCUAAAACAUGAACAUUUAUGAGUUCCUUGCAGCAAAUACAUCUUAAAUCUUUGGUUUCCAGUCUGCCAUAUAGUAGGCCUAUAGAUCUGCGAAAUCAGCUCCAUUCCGGUAUUAAACCUCUUAUGUAUACAUCAAAUAAAAAUAUGAAAAAUGGAAAUAAUGUUAUUUAUUAUUAUUAUUAUUAUUAUUAUUAUUAUUAUUAUUAUUAUUAUUAUUAUUAUUAUUAUUAUUAUUACAAUUAGGGACCACCUCUUAAAAGUACCAACUACAAAUCUUUAAUCUUUCAACAUAGCUAACAUUUAAAAGUUAUCCCUAAGACACUCUAAAUGCUUUAAGGUCAAAAUAGUAGUCUUGAAUUGGAGGGCGAACUUUAUAUAAUGUGUUCGAAUAGGAAAAAGAUGUUUUAGCGUAUCGAGCAAAGUCCUUCAACGAAAAGUUCCUUUAUUAAAUUGUAUGAAAAAAGUUUCUGGAUAGGAGCUAUGGUUAAGCAAGAAAAGCUUACCGGUACAGGUCGCAGCUAGGAAAUAAUAGUAAAUAAUGUUAAAAUUAUGUUCGCUGCGUAGCAACGUAAACACAAUAUAAACAAAUGGAUAAAUAAUAACAAUAAUAACAGUGCUAAAAUAGGACUACAUCUACUUUAGCGCACUGUUGUUAUUACUAUUUAUCAAUUUGUUUAUAAUGUGUUCACGAUGCUACGUAUAUAUAUAUAUAUAUAUAUAUAUAUAUAUAUAUAUAUAUAUAUCUUUACCUUUUUGAUUUACAGUGCUACUAAGAAACUCUGAUUUAACAUGUUUAAUAACAUCAUACAUGCAUAAACAAUUAUGUCUAUAAUAAUAUAAAACAUUUUAAUAAAUACUUUCUUUUUAGAUAUCCUAGGAAAGUAAGGUAACCCGUGUUGUGCGUUUUAUGUUCGUUGAUAAUAAAAUGUCUUAACAUAGGCCCCACCUCCA